rnacentral:rRNA from 1 species
UGGGUUUGACAUCCUCUGAUCGUCUGGGAAACCAGAUUUUUCCGGCUUUGUCGGAACAGAGUGACAGGUGCUGCAUGGCUGUCGUCAGCUCGUGUCGUGAGAUGUUGGGUUAAGUCCCGCAACGAGCGUAACCCUUGUCUUUAGUUGCCAUUAUUAAGUUAGGCACUCUAAAGAGACUGCCUCGGUUAACGGGGAGGAAGGUGGGGAUGACGUCAAGUCCUCAUGGCCUUUAUAUCCAGGGCUACACACGUGCUACAAUGGGCUGUACAAAGGGUUGCUAACCCGCGAGGGUGCGCUAAUCCCAAAAAGCAGUUCUCAGUUCGGAUUGAAGUCUGCAACUCGACUUCAUGAAGG